rnacentral:rRNA from 1 species
UACAGAGGGUGCGAGCGUUAAUCGGAUUUACUGGGCGUAAAGGGCGCGUAGGCGGUGAGAUGAGUGUGAUGUGAAAGCCCCGGGCUUAACCUGGGAAGUGCAUCGCAAACGAUCUGACUGGAGUAGAUGAGAGGGUGGCGGAAUUUCCGGUGUAGCAGUGAAAUGCGUAGAGAUCGGAAGGAACGUCGAUGGCGAAGGCAGCCACCUGGCAUCAUACUGACGCUGAGGCGCGAAAGCGUGGGGAUCAAACAGG